AGCGAACGCUGGCGGCAGGCUUAACACAUGCAAGUCGAGCGGGCAUCUUCGGAUGUCAGCGGCAGACGGGUGAGUAACACGUGGGAACGUACCCUUCGGUUCGGAACAACUCUGGGAAACUGGAGCUAAUACCGGAUACGCCCUUAUGGGGAAAGGUUUACUGCCGAAGGAUCGGCCCGCGUCUGGUUAGCUAGUUGGUGGGGUAACGGCCUACCAAGGCGACGAUCAGUAGCUGGUCUGAGAGGAUGAUCAGCCACACUGGGACUGAGACACGGCCCAGACUCCUACGGGAGGCAGCAGUGGGGAAUAUUGGACAAUGGGCGCAAGCCUGAUCCAGCCAUGCCGCGUGAGUGAUGAAGGCCUUAGGGUUGUAAAGCUCUUUUGUCCGGGACGAUAAUGACGGUACCGGAAGAAUAAGCCCCGGCUAACUUCGUG
rnacentral:rRNA from 1 species